rnacentral:rRNA from 1 species
AUGUAAGGAAGGCAGCAGGCGCGCAAAUUACCCACUCCCGGCUCGGGGAGGUAGUGACGAAAAAUACCGUUGCGAGCCCCUCCGGGGUGUCGCAAUCGGAAUGGGCUCACCUUAAAACCGUGGGCGAGGACCUAGUGGAGGGCAAGUCUGGUGCCAGCAGCCGCGGUAAUUCCAGCUCCACUGGCGUAUACCAAUGCUGUUGCGGUUAAAAAGCUCGUAGUUGGACUCGUGCCCGCGACCGGCGGCGUCUCCGGCAGCCGCGCUCCUCCGCUCUCUCUCAUGCAGAGGCGGUGGCCCGAGCGCUCGGAGACUCCGACUGGCCGGCUCCGCGGUGCUGACACGGGUGCGCCUCCGCCGGAAGCGAGUGAAAAGGGUCACUCCGGCGGGCGCUGCCUCGCCCCGUCUGCCCGUCCGUCGCCUUCGCGGCGUCGGCGGAAGCGGGGGGCGAGUGCAGCAGGCCACCGCUUUUACUGUGAAAAACUCAGAGUGCUCAGAGCAGGCCUCGCGGGGGCCUUCCAUCCCCGCGGCAAGGCCCGAAUGUAAUCUCAUGGAAUAAUGGAAGACGACCUCGGCCCAGCAGUUUGGCUGGUUUUAGUGGCCGCCGAGGUAAUGAUUAACAGGGACCGACGGGGGCAGUCGUACUGCGACGCGAGAGGUGAAAUUCUGAGACCGUCGCAUGACGCCCUACCGCGAAGGCAG